GAUUAACGUUGGCAGUAUGCCUAACACAUGCAAGUCGCGCGAUAUAGCGGCAGACGAGAGAGUAAUAGUAAGGAACUUACCCCCAAGUGAAGGAUAGCCCCGCGAAAGCGGGGGUAAUCCUGCAUAAUAUCGAAAGAUCAAAGCGCUUGCGCGCUUGGGGGAGAGGCCUUACUCCUAUCAGCUUGUUGGUGAGGUAAUGGCUCACCAAGGCAAUGACGGGUAGCUGGUCUGAGAGGAUGAUCAGCCUCGAUGGGACUGAGACACGGCCCAUACUCCUACGGGAGGCAGCAGUUGGGAAUUUUGCACAAUGGGCGCAAGCCUGAUGCAGCAAUACUGCGUGAAGGAUGAAGGUUUUCGGAUUGUAAACUUCUUUUAUCAGGGAAGAAUCUUGACUGUACCUGAUGAAUAAGCACCGGCUAACUACGUG
rnacentral:rRNA from 1 species